AAAGCCGGUCAGGCAACCGCCGCGUGCUUUUUGCACGGGGAGGAAAGUCCGGGCUUCACAGAGCGGGAUGCCGGUUAACGGCCGGGCGCUAUAAGCCGCAAGGCGAAGGCGACGGAAAGUGCAACAGAGAACAGACCGCCGAUGGACGAAGAAAGGUAUUGCUUUAGGCGAUAUUUUUUACGGACGUAGAUUUUCUGCGCCGUUGCGGGAAGCCGUAAAAGCUGCCCGCCGGAUCAGGCAAGGGUGAAACGGUGGUCCGGCGCAAGCCGGAACGGACGGAAUCGGUUCCGUCCGGGGUAAGAGCCCACCGCGGACGUGGCGACACGGACGGCAUGGCAAACCCCAUCCGAAGCAAGGCCAAAUAGGGAAGCGCAUGACGUGGCUCGCGUUUGCUUCCGGGUAGGCUGCUUGAGCGCGCUGGUAACAGCGCGCCUAGAGGAAUGGUUGCCCAACGACAGAACCCGGCUUAUCGACCGGCUUUCCAC
rnacentral:RNase_P_RNA from 1 species